GUUUGGACUUGCUUUUUCCAGCUGUUCUCAACUGGUGUCUCAACUCAGAGCUGGAGCCUGUCACACACACCCUUCCUUGAGAUGUGAAGAAAAGCAUUUACAUGACCCUAGUGGGCAGCCCUGGUGGCUCAGCAGUUUAGCGCCUGUCUUUGGCCCAGGGCAUGAUCCUGGAGUCCCCAGAUCGAGUCCCACAUUGGGCUCCCUGCAUGGAGCCUGCUUCUCCCUCUGCCUGUGUCUCUGCCUCUCUCUCUCUCUGUCUCUCAUGAAUAAAUAAAUGAAAUCUUUAAAAAAAAAAG